AGAGUUUGAUCCUGGCUCAGGACGAACGCUGGCGGCGUGCCUAAUACAUGCAAGUCGAGCGAAUGACUAGAGAAGCUUGCUUCUCUAUGAUUUAGCGGCGGACGGGUGAGUAACACGUGGGUAACCUACCCUAUAGACUGGGAUAACUUCGGGAAACCGGAGCUAAUACCGGAUAAUACUUCGAACCACAUGGUUUGAAGUUGAAAGUUGGCCUCGGCUAACACUUACGGAUGGGCCCGCGGCGCAUUAGCUAGUUGGUGAGGUAACGGCUCACCAAGGCAACGAUGCGUAGCCGACCUGAGAGGGUGAUCGGCCACACUGGGACUGAGACACGGCCCAGACUCCUACGGGAGGCAGCAGUAGGGAAUCUUCCGCAAUGGACGAAAGUCUGACGGAGCAACGCCGCGUGAGUGAAGAAGGCCUUCGGGUCGUAAAACUCUGUUGUCAGGGAAGAACAAGUACCGUUCAAAUAGGGCGGUACCUUGACGGUACCUGACCAGAAAGCCACGGCUAACUACGUGCCAGCAGCCGCGGUAAUACGUAGGUGGCAAGCGUUGUCCGGAAUUAUUGGGCGUAAAGCGCGCGCAGGCGGUCCUUUAAGUCUGAUGUGAAAGCCCACGGCUCAACCAUGGAGGGUCAUUGGAAACUGGGAGACUUGAGUGCAGAAGAGGAUAGUGGAAUUCCAAGUGUAGCGGUGAAAUGCGUAGAGAUUUGGAGGAACACCAGUGGCGAAGGCGACUGUCUGGUCUGUAACUGACACUGAGGAGCGAAAGCAUGGGGAGCGAACAGGAUUAGAUACCCUGGUAGUCCAUGCCGUAAACGUUGGGCACUAGGUGUGGGGCUCAUUCCACGAGUUCCGUGCCGCAGCAAACGCAUUAAGUGCCCCGCCUGGGGAGUACGGCCGCAAGGCUAAAACUCAAAGAAAUUGACGGGGGCCCGCACAAGCGGCGGAGCAUGCGGAUUAAUUCGAUGCAACGCGAAGAACCUUACCAAGGCUUGACAUACACCGGAAAAGUGCAGAGAUGUGCUCCCCGCAAGGUCGGUGUACAGGUGGUGCAUGGUUGUCGUCAGCUCGUGUCGUGAGAUGUUGGGUUAAGUCCCGCAACGAGCGCAACCCUCGUCCCAUGUUGCCAGCGGGUUAUGCCGGGGACUCAUGGGAGACUGCCGGGGUCAACUCGGAGGAAGGUGGGGAUGACGUCAAAUCAUCAUGCCCCUUAUGUCUUGGGCUUCACGCAUGCUACAAUGGCCGGUACAAAGGGCUGCGAUACCGCGAGGUGGAGCGAAUCCCAAAAAGCCGGUCUCAGUUCGGAUUGGGGUCUGCAACUCGACCCCAUGAAGUCGGAGUCGCUAGUAAUCGCAGAUCAGCAACGCUGCGGUGAAUAAGUUCCCGGGCCUUGCACACACCGCCCGUCA
rnacentral:rRNA from 1 species